rnacentral:rRNA from 1 species
GACGAACGCUGGCGGCGUGCUUAACACAUGCAAGUCGAGCGGUAAGGCCCUUUCGGGGGUACACGAGCGGCGAACGGGUGAGUAACACGUGGGUGACCUGCCCUCAGCUCUGGGAUAAGCCUGGGAAACCGGGUCUAAUACUGGAUAUGACUCCAUGACGCAUGUUGUGGGGUGGAAAGCCUUGUGCGGCUGAGGAUGGGCCCGCGGCCUAUCAGCUUGUUGGUGGGGCGAUGGCCUACCAAGGCGACGACGGUAGCCGGCCUGAGAGGGCGACCGGCCACACUGGGACUGAGACACGGCCCAGACUCCUACGGGAGGCAGCAGUGGGGAAUCUUGCGCAAUGGGCGAAAGCCUGACGCAGCGACGCCGCGUGAGGGAUGACGGCCU